rnacentral:lncRNA from 1 species
CCAGAAGCCGGUCCCAUUCCUCGGAUCCCUAAUCCUGCCAGACACGAGUUAGUUAAACAGACAGAAGCUCCCGGAGAAUGGGACCAUCGUCUGGGACCUGGGCCCCCUCUAAGGGCUGAGAGAGCACAUUCCCAGUCGGCCACCAGAACUCUGACAGGUACUCGAUUAAAAUUGCAUUUGCUGAACUUGGAGCACACCCACAGAAAGCAGAGCGCCAACCACAACAAAAGUUUCGGAAAUUAAAGUUCUUUCUACAAGGACAACUUGUUGCAGAUAAUCAUUCCUGCCCAACAUGGGGGUUCCGGGACAGGGGGAAAAAGUCUGCAUACUCUGCAACAAAUGGGAGUCUUUAUUGCUUUUAAUCGACCCUCAGCCAAAUAACCAGUUCAUUCGUGAUUGGCUUGCUGCAGAAACCAUGUGGC